rnacentral:rRNA from 1 species
UACGUAGGGUCCAAGCGUUAUCCGGAAUCAUUGGGCGUAAAGCGCACGUAGGCGGUCUUUUAAGUCUCAUGGUGAAAGGCUGGGGCUCAACCCCAUGCAUGCCGGGGAUACUGGGAGACUGGAGACAGGCAGAGGCCAGCGGAAUUCCGGGUGUAGCGGUGGAAUGCGUAGAGAUCCGGAAGAACACCGGAGGCGAAGGCGGCUGGCUGGGCCGUGAUCUGACGCUGAGGAGCGAAAGCAUGGGGAGCGAACAGG